CUGAUGCACAAGACUUUCCUCUUGAUGAGUAUCAGACAUUUGAGAAUAUCAGACAUUUGAGUUCCUUUGCAGCUUAAGGAGUUAAUCCUAUUUAUCUUAGAGAACAGCAAUUCAACUAUCUGGCUGGCUUGACAAAUAACUAUACACCAACAAUGUGUGCAAAGGCAAUUAAGUGUAUCCUUGGAAAAUUUUAUCUGAGAUUAUGCAGAGUUGUUUACAACUUUUUUGUUCAAGCCUAGUGACUUAUUUCAGUGCAUGAAAAUCAUCCCACCUUUCAUCCUGUCCUGACAAACUGGGAUCAUGUAAACAGCACAUUUAGCCAUUAAGUUGAUUUGCACUCUAAUUUUCCUACUUAUAUUAUUUAACUCUGUCUAACGUCAUACAAUUUUAUUAAGCAGGGGGUGCACUGGCAGUUAAUUAAUGGGUAACUAGACACAUGGGCAGUCUCAUUAUGAAGCAUAAAAUCGUCUAGCGUUGGACAGUAAAAUACUCAAGUAGAGCAUGCAUCAGGGCACAGUACAACCUAAUGGUUAAAUUUGUUUUUUGUAGCAAAAUGGUUUAAGUUUUAUAUCUGAAUUUUUUAAUUUUUUUUUUUGCUUUGUUUUACAGAUCAUUACUUGAACGUGCUGAUGAAAUAUUGAUUUAUAAAAUAUCAUGUUACCAAGAUGACAUGCCUCGAAGAGCAAUACAUGAGGGAAUACCUCUAUUUCUAAUCAAAUUACAACAAUACACCAAAGACAGUAGUUCUCGGAUGAAAUGAAAGGAUUGAUAAAUGUUCAUGGCCAGCAGUGGAUAUUUGUGACUAUAAUAAAUGGAUACAAAGAAACUAUGAUGGAUAAAUAUGGCCCCGUAAUGGAUAUUCAGUUGAUGGACAUACAAAGGUCACAGAAAUGUCUAUUUUCAGGUACUGUUCUUUCUUGUUUGCCUGCGAACAGGCUGUAGAUACUUGUAUCCAGGCCAUUGUUUGUUUGUUUUUUGUUCUGGGUACAAUGAAAUCCGGCAUAAAUCCUGGCGGUCUAAAUGUUCAGUAUAUUUACAAAUUCGAUCUAUUUUCUGUUCAGUAGACUUUGAUAGCUUGAAAGAAAGUUUAUAACGAUGAUUUUCUCUGCAAAAACUGUACUUUCGAAAUUCGUCAGCUUCUGAAUUUGAUAACCGAUCUGAAAAAAAAAGGGAACA